GGUCACAUCUGAGCUUUGGUGCACUAGAAAUUUCCUUUCUCUUCCUUUGAAUCACUACCAUGGUCUCCCAAAAUAACAGAACAUGUGCUUUCAUCAAUAUCCUUAUCCAGAACAACUUGGCUACGUCUACCAUUGUUUAGAACAACAGGUUUCUCAUCUUCCUCGUGGCUGCUAAUACUACUGUCACUAGCAUCAACUGCUCUUUUUCCCUUCUUGAAAAACAAAAAAAAAAUCUCAUAAAAGACAAGCAAUAAAGAUACGAAGAACCUAAGUAGCGAAUUUACUCAUUAGACAGUAUACAUAAUCACAAAAUCCACGAGUAGAUCGAAGAAAACAACUUUUGAAAUCACUACACCUAAAAAGCAGAGCAAACUAAAACUAGAAACCAAAAAUAUACACAUAAAAAGAAUACAUGUGCGCGGGUAGGAUCCUAGUUAUUUAUUUAAACUAGAGAGAUAAAUGAUUGGUUUAUUCAGCUCACCAACUGUGCUGAAGUGGGGUCGAUAGGGGUUGGUGGGGUCAGUAGAGUUAGUGCGGAAAGUUGGUGCGAGGAUCCGACCCGACCUGGUCCAUGUCGGAUGUCACUUUUUCACAUACCCCAGGUUCGGUUCGCUCGUAUGCCUACCUACCCCCAUAGAUUAGACUGUCGGUCCGUCCUUUGUUGCGAACAGAAAUAACCCAAUCGAUGUACCGGCGUGCAUGGAACCACUGAUGUCAUCAUAAUCCAUUAGUCUCACUCUAUAACCAAAUAAAAUUUGCAUAUUGGGAUUAAGAAGUUACCUUAUAUCUAAUGGCGUUUUCAUGGAUUAUAUAACAUUUCAGGCUCCUCUAUGAUUAAAAGCUUGGGAUGAAGCACUCAGUGAGAUAAGCAAGUUAUCGGAUGAGAUUAU
rnacentral:lncRNA from 1 species